CCCGCAGCCCAGGCGGCGAGGAAGUGCGGCGCGGGGCCGCCGCCGGCCCGCCCGGAGCGGCGCGGGGCGAGCGCGGGGAGCGCCCGGGCCGGAGCGCGCAGCACCCUUCUAGGACACACCGGUAUUAGCAGAAACAAACGUGCGCCGAGUCUGUCAUGUUUCUCCAGCCUCGGUGGCAUGGUUUUCAUUGCUUCUUUACAGCGUGGCCCUCGCUGCUUUCAUGACUCAGGGUGUGCAGGUGCUCUGCAAACAGUUCAGAGCCAUGACCACUCGAAAGGAAUCUGGGAGGCCCAGUUAGCAGAUGCGAAGAGUGGUCCUUAGCUUAUGCAAGAUCCAGCAGGUGGUAGAUGACACAGCCAGGACUUGAUCUUAACCAUGCGGCUACCCUCCCUUCCUCCUAAGAGUUUCAGAGGAAUUUUUCAAGUGGAAACUAAUUGCAGAGUUUCCGGUUGACCAGCCUUCACAGGAUUGGGAAGGCUGGCCCCCACACCGCAUUCUGCUGCCCUGUGACCCUGGAGAAGCUAUUGUACACCUCGAAAUUCUGUUUCCUCGUUUGUGAAGAGUCAGACUGUGAUUUUCAUGGUUCCUUCCUGGAUUAAACCGUCCAUGUGACUCUGCCUCCGGGAAAGGUCGGUCACCUGCAGAAGGAUUAGGAGGAGCAAAUGGACUGAUAAACUCUUUAUCAGCUCGUCAUUGAAAGGGGUUCAUGUGUGCUCCCAGAGACUGCUCAGGGCCUGGGUGUGGCUCUACUUGAUGGCCUGCUUACCCUGGGCUGAUGGGAGGGGGCAGGGAAACUCUCUGAGAGACAUUGAAGAUGACAGAGAAGGGUUCGAGGUGGCCUUCUGUUUGCACGUUCUGGGAAGUCUGUAGCCACCGGUGAAUGGGGCCCCUGGUGGCCGAGGCUCUAGUGCUAAUGUUACAGUAAUGUGACUGCAGCAUCUCUUCAUUUUAAAUGUUUUCUGAUAAUUGGGUAGCUUACUAAAAGUAUCCAAAAAUUGCAGGUCCCGUUGUAGCGUAGAAAUGAAUCCAACCAGUCACCAUGAGGAUGCGGGUUCAAUCCCUGGCCUCACUCAGUGGGUCAAGGAUCCAGUGUGGCUGUGAGCUCGGGUGAAGGUCACAGACUUGGCUUGGAUCCCGUGUUUCUGUGGCUGUGGUGUAGGCUGGCAGCUGUAGUUCCGCUUCGACCCCUAGCCUGGGAACCUCCAUAUGCCGUGGGUGUGGCCCUAAAAAGCAAAGUAAAUAAAUAAAUCCAAAAAUUGAGAGCUUUUUUUUCUAAAAACACAAUUACCAUCUAAAUUCAAUGCACGGUAUAUUUUAUAACCCUCAGCAACAAGAGGUAAAGCAGUGUUUCUUAAAGUUCAACAACUCUGGUUUAAUUAGGAUUUCUAGAGUUGUUCCCGUGGUCUUAGCUGUCAUCCUCAGUGGCUUCUCUGGGGCUUUGGGUGAUGAGGGUAAUUUUCCUAAUAUGUAGCCUGUGAUUUGACUGUUUCCCAGAAGCGCUGCCUCCCCACGGCUUUGAGGAAGAGGCUGCAGGCGGGUAGUUAGACAUCACUGUUCUCCUUUGGUUUCUCUGGGGUUUUUUGUUUUGCUUUGUUUUUGUUUUUGUUUUUCGCUUUUUAGGGCCGCACCUGUGGCACAUGGAAGUUCCCAGGCUAGGGGUCCAUCAGAGCUGUAGCCACUGGCCUACACCACAGCCACAGCAACACGGGAUCCGAGCCACAUCUGCAGACUACACCACAGCUCACAGCAACACCAGAUGCUUAACCCACUGAGCGAGGCCAGGGAUGGAACCUGAGUCCUCAUGGAUGCUGGUCAGAUUCGCUCACCGCUGAGCCACGACGGGAAUUCUGGUUUCUCUGUGUUUUGACUGACAUCAGACUCUGAUUUCUGUGCUUCAGAAACGCUGUGCUGCUUUUCUGCUUCACUGACCCUGUCUCUCUGUUCCUCUCUGCUGUUCCUUGUCUGAUAGUCCUUCCUCAUCUGAUCUUCAUGUAGGGAGGGGGCUUUUAUUCUGCACUCACUGAAUUCUUUCAAAGAAUGAACUCAUUUCUAUGGCCCAGUCUAUUACUUAAAUGCUCAUGGUAUCCUGUCGUGGAUUAAGUCUGGCUGCAAAUACUUAGCGAUUUUUCCCAUCAAGAGGUGAGUCUGUUUUCCCUCCUUUUGAUUCUAGGCUGGCCCCUCUUACCUCGAAUGUGGCAGAAAUAGUGCGAAGUGAUUUCUGAGGCCGGCCCUUAAAGAGAGGUGUAGCUUCUGCUUCUACAGCUUGUAAUGUUCCUACCGGAACUUAGCCACCUUGCUGUGGGGAAGCCUAAACAGCCGUGUGCAGGAGUGGCCCCUGGUCAUUAGCUCAAGCCGAGCUUCGGGCCAGCAGCCGGCCGAAAUGCCAGCCCUACAAUGGGGGGGGGGGGUUGACCCUCCAGCCCUCCCAUCCUUCCAGCCAACACCACGUGAAACAGAAGCCCUGCCUCAUCAGCUCACAGCAUCACGAGAAAUGAUGAAUGGCUGUUUCAGCUGCUACAUUUCGGGGUGGUUUGUUUCACUGCAAUGAAGAACCAAAACAAAUUCAGUACCUAGAAGUGAGGUGCCUCUGUAAUAAAACAUUGGCAUUGGCUUUGAGAGCAGACGGCAUUGAACCCGAAGGGGCGGUGAAAAGAUUAUUACUGCCGCUGGAAGGGCAAUGAGGAAUUGCUGUUGGAGGCUGUCAGAGAGUACCCUCACUUUGUCCGGGCAGAAAACUUUACAAGACUGACCCCUGCAGCAACGUGGAAGAUAGAAAAUGAACCCAGUGGCUUUGUGGAUCUGGCUUAGAUUUUCCAGCAGAACGGUGCAAGUUCCAGUUAACUUUGUAAAAUCAGGAUCAAAGUAUUGUGAGAGGUUAGUUAAAGAAGAAAACAUUCAGAUUUCAGGCGAACCUUAGAGGAAGUUAUUCCAAUACAGAAUUUUCUGGGGUCGUGAACGACACUGUUUCUUAUGCCUCGCGUCCCUGCCCAGCCACAGGCUCUCACACCAAGAAACGGCCUUGGGUUGGAAGAUCCGAUCCAGAGCACUCGUGCAGUAAAACUGGGUCUUGGGGUAUAAAUAACAGCCAGGGCCCAGGUAUGGGAGCCUGUAUUAAGACUUCAAGAAGGUUUAAGGCAGUGCCUCUUCUCCGCUAGAGACAAAGGCUUCCGAGAUCCUCAGGGUGUUUCCCCACAGCAUCCUGGACCUGAUUUAGCUGACAAAAUCCUGGAUUUCAAGCCUGAACUCGAAGCCACAGGAGGAUGGAACUUGGGGGUGGGGGGGAGCAGUGGGGCUCAGAAGAGGGCGAGCCUUUGCCUGGGGGAGGAACGCGGACCUUUUGUGGGCACAGACUGGACUGCGGUAGAUUAAACCCGGCUGGGUGCCCUCUACCCCUCUUCCCACUGAGAGGAGGCAUUUGCUUCCUGUCCCCUCCAGUCUGGGCUGGUGUGUGACUCCUUUGACCCAGGAAUGGGGCGGAUGUGACACUGUGUAGCUCUGCGGGCUCCGCGCCGUAAAAGAACUGUGGUUUUCCGCUCUGCCUGCAAUGCACCAGCGUAGAACCCCAGCGCCGCGCUCCGUGAGGACAACAGCCGGGAGCAAUCUCCCGCGAGGUCCCAGCCGCAGCCUGAUGCGUGAGCCCGGGCUGGACCGUCUUUGUGCCAGCCAUGACCAUGAAGUAAAAAAGAGCCACCCCCAGAAUCGCAAGAUAUAAAACUGUGUUUAAGCUGUUAAGGUUUGGAGUCUGCAGGUUAGUUAGGCAGACUCCUUCCCAGCUACUUGCUUCUCGCUUACGCCAGGGAGAAGCUUAACCAGCUUAGAUACGCUCUGCUUCAUGUGUGAACAUUCAGAAGAAUGCAUUCCUACAAUUCUCCUGCAUCCUGCAUUUUUCGUAUGUUCAGUUAUUCAUUGCACAAAGAUUUCUUGUACAGCAUGUGCUAGAAACUGGAAGAUACAGUCAUACCUUAGAUCAGAGUUGGAAUCCUUUUGAUCCUGCAUCUCCCUGGACCUUUCUUAGGAUGUUUGAUGUUGCCAAGUGGCUUGAGCUUUCGCUUGCAAUGAUUAUGUCAUUCCUGGCUUUCUUUUCAAAUAUAUUACAAAAAUUUCCGUAUUAUUUCUGACCCCCACAACGGAAACAGCCUUUCAGUCAGCCCCCUCGUUUCUGAUCCCGCCUCCUUAAAUCCAUCCUGCCAUUCUCGACAACUCACUGUCCCACAGCCCUGCCCCGAGUCUCCGGAGGUUCCUAUGGCAGCUGUUACCGUGUGGUCUGUAGGGCGGGGAAGCACGCUAGACAUCUGAAACUUCAGGAAGGCUCGAAAGAUGGGCGCUUUCCCCAGAUGCUUUAUUGUCAAUCUGUCUUGUGAGCUUUCUUCUCCUGGGGAGAUUUGGAAAAAAAAAAAAAUCUGGUCUCGACAUAGACCAGGUGAAGUGCCCUGUAGGAGUGGCCCCAGGUCUGGGUGUCUUCUUAUAGUGCCACGGGUGGUUCUGAUGUGAAGCCACAAUUGAGACCCACUGCCUGAGAUUUGUGCUUCUCACCAAGUGGUCCCUGCAGCAUCAGCAGUAACUCGGAAUUUGUUAGAAAUACAUAUUCUUGGCUCUACUGCAGACCCAAUGUAGCAGAAACUCUGAGGGCGGGAUCUAGCACGUUGUGAUUUCAUAAGCUCCUCGGUGGUUUAGGAAGAGUAGUGUUGGAGAAGCACGUUACCGGAUCAAUCCUGGUUCCCUUCUAGACCGCGAAACCACCGUCUGGCUGGUGGUCAUGGAAGGGCUUGAGAAAUGCUGCACGAUUGUCAUCAGAUGGCUGAAAAAGCUUCAGCAGGUCAUGGAGUGUAAAGAAAAGGACCAAAAUCAUCCCAGAUACUAACGCAUUUUUUCCCAGGGAGAGAACUCUAAGAGGUAAAUUUAAGUUAGACCCAAGGAACAUCUUGAUGAGAAGUGGGACUGAGCGUUUUGAAAGGAUAUAGAUGAUCUUUAAAGCAGUUCCAGGGAGAGACCCCACUGUCAGUUGUUUGGCUCGAUCCCUGCCUGGGGCCAGAAAUGAGAUCUUUGAAGUGGCUUAUCCAGUUCUCAGCAUAUAAUGACUCUAAUUACCAUCUGAUCAUCAUUUGUUUAUUUUUUCACUGGUUAUUUUGGAGAUGCUUUCAAAGGACAAUAAGGACGGGUGGGAAGCAAAGACCGGCUGACUUGAGUUGUUAUUCCAGUCUUUGGGACUUUGGGGUGCGACUGUUACAGGAAUUCAUGCACUUUGAAAAGCUUUUAUGAUUUUUUUUUAAUGAGGUUUAAAAGCUAAAGGAAUGGAAUUAGGACCGUAAAAUCCUUUAAUUUUACAUUGUUUCUUUGAACCGAUUUAGUGCAUUUGUAUAUUAGAAAUUGAGAUCUGAUUUGGAUUGAAUCCUCAUUGUUUGCAAAUAUAUGGCCUGGAAAAAAUUUCUUAGACACGCAAACAGUAUUAAAUUUGGGGAUGACAAAAAAAAAAAAAAAAAAAAAAAAG
rnacentral:lncRNA from 9 species